UCAGGAUGCCGCGCCAGGAUGGUGCUUGGGCGGCGGGAGGCAGCCAGGACUCACUGGACAACUACUCUAGGGUGCCGCCGCCUGCGGGAUCGAGGCUGCAGGGGGCGGGGUGGGAGGAGGCUGCGGAAACGAGGCUCAGACCGCAGGUGGUUCAGCAUUCAUCAGAAGAGUCCACAGCAGAGGGAGGCAGGUUAGAGGCCAGAAAUGACCGAAGCAGAGACUAUACUUUGAAGAUGGAGGAAGAGGUCACAAGCCAAGAAUUGUAAGCAGCUUCCAGAAAUUGGAACAGAAUCUUCCCUAGAGCCUUAAGAAGGACGAGGGACUGGACAACCCCACAUACAUUCAGCUCUCACACCUUGUUCCCGGUACCCUCCAAGACCUCCUCCCCAAGGCCGCCUGAAUCCCAUCUUAGCCUGAGACCACUAGUAGUGUCACAGCGCGUCACAAACACACAGAUAUGUUGGCAAAGAUACAAGCUACAGACGGAACGAGGGACAGAGAGACUGGAGGGCUCUGGUUUCGGGGAUGGAGGAGGAUACUCGAGAAGACGAGGAGAAGCUUACUCUGCACCCUCCAUGGUUCCAGCCGGGAAAGAGGAAGUUGGCGCAUGCGCGCUGUCCACUUAAAGACGGCGAGCGUGAAGCCCCAAGACUCAUAGGUGUCUCGGGAUAAGCCAGAAAAGAACUCGGAACUAAGAACUCGCAGACGCAGAAGUAAGAACUGCCUGACUCAGCCUCUUUACAACCAAGUUUCUGGUAAAAUGUGUAUGGGAAAAAUGAA